rnacentral:lncRNA from 10 species
AGGGGGAGGGGCGGGGCGGGGAGGGGCCAGGCGGGAGCGCAGAGCACGUUCGCGGGAGGGUCUGGCCUUGUCAUGCGCGGGGUCGCCGCGGGAAGGAGGAUGGCCCGUUGAGGGCUUGGCACGGAUACCUGACGGUCGGAGGAAGGGGGGAGAGCCGGUAAAGGAGGCUGACCCAAAACUGAGGCCCGGUGCAUCAUCCCUCAUGAGAGGCAAGCCCAGAAGCGCCACAAUACUAGGGUCCCCCUUCAGGAGACAGAGACCCCCAGGACACAGAGGGCCCCCAAGUCACUCAGCCCCCCCAGGACACGCAGCUCCUGCAGGACGCAGAGGGUGCCCAAGACACACAGUCCCCAGGACAGAGACCCCCCAGGACACAGAGGACCCCCAAGACACGCAGUCUCCAGGACACAGAGGUCCCCCCAGGACACACAGUGCCCCCAGGACACAGAGGUCCCCCAGGACACAGCACUCCCAGGACACACAGCCCCCCCGGGACACAGAAACCCCCCCAGGACACAGCCCCCCUAAGACACACAGCCUCCCCCAGUACACAGAGUCCUUUCCAGGGCACAUAUUCCCCCAGAAGACACAGAGGUCCCCCUAAGACACACAGCCCCCCCAGGACACACAGACCGCCAGGUCACAGAGACCUUCCCAGGACACAGGGACCUUCCCAGGACACAUAGCCCCCCAGAGGACACACAGCCCCCCCACGACACAGCCCAUAGAGGACACAACCCCUUAGUACCCCACCUAAAGGACAGGUGGCCCUCACACAGCACAGCCCCCGCAGGACUCCGGGACCCUCAGGUCACAUUGCUCACAGGGCACAGUUCUCAACUCUUAGGGUCAGGCUGCUGGGGGCAUCCUGGUCACAGAGCUUUGUCCCUGGGCUUGGCUCAUGCAGUGGAUGGCUGUGGAGGCCUGAGUGCUGGCCCUCGUGUCUCUUGCCCAGGGAGUCCUCUCCACUCCCCCUCCUCACUUUCCUGUCCCCUCCUAGGCUCUCCCUGUUCCCUGCAGCACACCUGAUCUCCUAGGAGGUCCUGACACUGUCCCCUCGCAGCCACCUGCCUCCACCCCGUCUGUCAUCCUCAUCCCACCCUCGCCACUUGCCUGAGCUGGUGCUGACCUCUUAGCCAUGGGGAGGAAGGAGCUGGACUGUAAGCUGAGAUCACUGGCCCACUCGGGCCAGGCGGUCUCCGCAUCGUGGGCAUUGAACACCUCGAUUCCCAUACGAGAGGGGCUCCUCCCUGAGAGCGACCAGAAGCCUUCCGAUGGCGGAGCGAGUUGGGCCGCCCCGGCUGUGACUAGGGCUCGGGGGCCCAGGUCCAAAUCACAGAGCUGGGGCGAGACCUAAGUGCGGUCCAGGGGCUCAGCACCCUCUUCCCUGAAGGGCACUGGGUUCUCCUCUGUGCACACGUACCGGUACCUGCUGUGAGAAGUGUCACGUGGGGGAAGGAGAGAGGCGUGGGUAAGGGACAUUUCCCUUCAUUUCUCUGCUUGCCACCCUUGGGGCCUCCUUCAGUUCACAUUUUACUCAGUCUCCCGGUGGCUGUACAGCCGGGGGCGGGGGCAUGUGUGGACAUCCACACACAGCGCUGGUUGUAUCCUAACCAGGAAACUCAAAGCAGCCUUGCCCACCACAGUGCGUUGAAUGGUGACCCUCUAAAGAUGUGUCCUGGGGGGCUGAGGAGGGAGGAUGGCUUGAGCCCAGGAGAUUGAGGCUGAGGCUGCACUGAACUGAGAUUGUGCCACUACACUCCAGCCUGGGCAACACAGCAAGACUCUGUCGCAAAAAAAAAAAAAAAA